rnacentral:lncRNA from 1 species
UAAUGUACAAUGAACCCUCAAAUAUAUAUAUAUGGUUAUAAACAUCUCUAAAUUCAUCACAACACACAUUAACCAAAAUGGGUUCCAAAGCCCACAUUAGUUCAAGUACUAACAGCCAUUAUCCAUCCAAACAAUAGAGUACUAAAUUCACAUCAGUUCAACUAGUAACAGCCAUUACGCAUCCAAAAAAACAAAGUACUCUUUCCAAACAAAAACAUAGACUAAAGCAGCAAUUUGUGUCAAACUGAAGUCAUCUUCAUGAGCAUAUCCAAAAGCCAACCUUUUUCAUC